rnacentral:rRNA from 1 species
UACGGAGGGUGCAAGCGUUAAUCGGAAUUACUGGGCGUAAAGCGUGCGCAGGCGGUUUGUUAAGUCCGUUGUGAAAGCCCCGAGCUCAACUUGGGAAUUGCAGUGGAUACUGGCAGGCUGGAGUACGGUAGAGGAAGGUGGAAUUCCCGGUGUAGCAGUGAAAUGCGUAGAUAUCGGGAGGAACACCAGUGGCGAAGGCGGCUUUCUGGACCAGUACUGACGCUCAUGCACGAAAGCGUGGGGAGCAAACAGG